AUUUGACCCCCUUUAUACAAGAUUUGGGUGCCACUACCGGACCUUGGUUGCAACAAUGAUCUAUAUGGUCCCAGAUUAUAUCAAUAACUUCACACCCCCAAUGCAAAAUUGAGGCAGGAAGGGAUGACACAAACAUCACUGAUUGCAUCCCAAGAGCUCCCCAUCCUUGGGUCUGUCUCACUACAGCUAGUAUUGGGUUAGAAGCCAUACCAGUGUAUAACAGAAAUGGUUUAUCAAAAACUUAUGUUUAAUAACAUGAUUGAAUGUCUUUACAAACUCAAGGGAAAACUUGGUUAGAACAAUAGUGGAUUGGAUCUGCUCUUGCAGCAUGGUACCUGUUUAUGUCUUGUGUGAACUUGCCAAGAGCUAAAGAAAACAGCUACUUUGUCCAUACAAGCUCUGGCAAAUGUUUGGAACCCAGUCAACAUCAAGUCAAUGUAGACGUCAAGGUUGCUCAUAGUACAGGAAUCUUGGCAUUUAGCCAUGAAAGCAAUAUGGUAGUGUGCCUCAGUUUCCCUUUUCAUACAGCACAUUAGGUCUGGAAUGUCUUUUCCCCGUGAAAAGUUCCAAUACUGUUUACAGGCAUUAACUGUGAAACAUCAGUAUAACAAGGCCUUUUAACAUAAAGUCUGUUCUCAUGUAUCCCUUUUAACAUGUUCAAGGGAUCUUCCAAAAGAUUAGGCACAUUGUACAUUUGUACAGUUUGUAGUAAUAGCAACACAUUCGUUACAAAAAUUACCAUUAGCAAUAACAACAAAUUCAUUGCAAGUGUCCAUCUACAGUCAUGUUUGCCUUGCCACACCUUUGGCUCAAUACCAUUGGAGUUUGGGCAUUUUAGGGCUAACCUGUGGCUUCCCUUUGCAAAAUUCAGUUUUCCCUUUUCUCCUUGUUCUGCAGGAUCAAACCCUGAUUUCUCUUGCUUAACAGAUGGUUGUUAAUAAACCAUAAACCCAGUAUCUUUAUUCAGUCCAGGAUUUUUAGUGUCUAGCAAAGUUAUGAAUUUAAACUCCCAAGCCCAUCUUUUUGAAAAUGUUGUGCAGGUUUCCUUUGAGGACAAGGGCUGACGGAUCACAUACAAGAGUGAAGUGUGAAGGGAGCCAACUAACGUGUUGGACUACGGUGGCAUGCAGGCUUGGAGUCUGGCGAGACGGAGAAUACAACGCUGCCCUCAGCGGUUUCUUCCAACGGGGCACCAAUGAACAUGCCAAAGCUAUCAACUCUGUCAGGUGGGAUCCCUGCAGAUUUAGGUGCUUGUCUACAUGGGAAUGGUUCCUGCCAUGGCUAUAGUGGAAUAGCUUUGGAAGCAGAGCAGUAAUUUUGGGGAAUAAAGUUGCUUUUAUUUGGAA